GGCUUCGGCCCGAGUUGUAAUUUGUAGAGGAUGCUUUUGGUGAGGUGCCUUCUGAGUUCCCUGGAACGGGACGCCAGAGAGGGUGAGAGCCCCGUAUAGUCGGCCACCGAUCCUCUGUAAAGCUCCUUCGACGAGUCGAGUAGUUUGGGAAUGCUGCUCAAAAUGGGAGGUAUAUCUCUUCUAAAGCUAAAUAUUGGCCAGAGACCGAUAGCGCACAAGUAGAGUGAUCGAAAGAUGAAAAGCACUUUGAAAAGAGGGUUAAAUAGCACGUGAAAUUGUUGAAAGGGAAGCGCUUGUGACCAGACUUGUGCCGGGCUGAUCAUCCAGUGUUCUCACUGGUGCACUCGACCCGGCUCAGGCCAGCGUCGGUUCUCGCGGGGGGAUAAAAGCUUCGGGAACGUGGCACCUCCGGGUGUGUUAUAGCCCGUUGCU
rnacentral:rRNA from 1 species